rnacentral:siRNA from 1 species
UGCUCAGCUUGUCUUGUUGAGUGC